GAUGAACGCUGGCGGCGUGCCUAAUACAUGCAAGUCGAGCGAACAGACGAGGAGCUUGCUCCUCUGACGUUAGCGGCGGACGGGUGAGUAACACGUGGAUAACCUACCUAUAAGACUGGGAUAACUUCGGGAAACCGGAGCUAAUACCGGAUAAUAUAUUGAACCGCAUGGUUCAAUAGUGAAAGACGGUUUUGCCGUCACUUAUAGAUGGAUCCGCACCGCAUUAGCUAGUUGGUAAGGUAACGGCUUACCAAGGCAACGAUGCGUAGCCGACCUGAGAGGGUGAUCGGCCACACUGGAACUGAGACACGGUCCAGACUCCUACGGGAGGCAGCAGUAGGGAAUCUUCCGCAAUGGGCGAAAGCCUGACGGAGCAACGCCGCGUGAGUGAUGAAGGUCUUCGGAUCGUAAAACUCUGUUAUUAGGGAAGAACAAAUGUGUAAGUAACUAUGCACGUCUUGACGGUACCUAAUCAGAAAGCCACGGCUAACUACGUG
rnacentral:rRNA from 1 species